AAGGGUGGAUUGUAACAUCCCACAUCGCCCAAGGGAGUGGAUCCUCUAAGCCUUAUAUGUAUAUUCUCAUCUCUACCUAACACGAGGUUUUUUGGGAACUCACUAGUUUCGGGUUCCAUAGGAACUUCGAAGUUAAGCGAGUUCGUGCAAGAGCAAUCCUAGGAUAGGUGACCCACUAGGAAGUUCUCGUGUGAGUUCCCAGAAACAAAACCGUGAGGGCCUGGUCGGGGCCUAAAGCGGACAAUAUCGUGCUACGAUGGAGUCGAGCCCAGGAUGUGGUGGGGGCUCGAGCCGGGAUGUGACAAUUUGGUAUCAGAGCCAAUCCCUGACCGGAAGUGUGCCGAAAAGGACGUCGGGCCCCUAAGGGGGUGGAUUGUAACAUCUUACAUCGCCCAAGGAAGUGGAUCCUCUAAGCCUUAUAUGUAUAUUCUCAUCUUUACCUAGCACGAGGCCUUUUAGGAGUUCACUAGCUUCGGGUUCCGUAGGAACUUCAAAGUUAAACGAGUUGGUGCGAGAGCAAUCUCAGGAUGGGUGACCCACUGGGAAGUUCUUAUGUGAGUCAUCAGAAACAAAACCGUUAGGUCUUGAUCGGGGCCCAAAACGGAUAAUAUCGUGCUACGAUGGAGUCAAGCUCGGGAUGUGGUGGGGGCCCGGGCGGGGAUGUGAAAAAUAUUGUAUUUGUUUAAACAAAUGAUAAAUAUUUAUAAGAUGGACAUCCAAUGACAGUAGUGCAGCCAAAGGGGUGCAUUAGGAUCCCUUGACCCCAACAAGUUUCUAAGUUUACUCUCAUAAAAAAAAAAUAUUUGAUCCCUAUACCAUCACCAGCAGAUGAAUUAUGGCUAAAUUUAGUGCGUCAUUUGCUGUUUUUUGGUUCCAUCCUUCUAAUACUUUUGGUUCCUAACCCUCUAAUGCUUGGGCUACUUUAUUUGUGCUCUACUUUGAACAAUCACUCAUAUUGGUGCUACGUUUUGUAGUUUUUGGGAGAGGAAUUUGUUACGUAUUUUCGUCUUCUUUGUUUGUUAUUUGUAUGAGUGAGAGCUAUCGGUGUAUGUGGGAUUUGGUUUUGAAAGUUAAACACAAUCUCCAUUUGAUAUAUUUGAGAGCUAUUUUUAAAUGAAAGUAUGAUCGAUUUUUAAACUAUUAUUGACUCCAUCGUUGUAAAUUUAUGGCUCUACCAUUGUUCAAUAAAAAAGCGUCACGUAGAAAAAAAAAAUCAAUUUAUAAUCACCAUUAAAAAGAACUAAAACCGAAAAAAGAAGAAGAGUAUAUUAUAAAGAAAAACAAAAAAGUUAUAAAAAUCCCUCAUGCCCCAUCCCCUACCCGUCCCCAAAAUGCCACACUUUUUUAUACAACCUACUAACUGAACACGAAAAUAAUAAUUUUUUAGUCGAUACAAGUCGUUAUUGGGUUACUGGUAAACAAAUCGGAUCGUUAUCGGGUCAUCCAUUAACAACACAAUAAGAUAUCACUUGCCAGAUCUCUAAAUUAAACACGACAAUUUCUUGUAUAACCCGUUAACCCGACACAAAACAACAUGACCCUUUAACGACAUGGUCCCUUGUUAAAAUUUGUUAAGAUAACAAAUUUGACACGAUACGAUUCGUUAAGAUAAAUAAUAUAUACAAAAAUUCCAACAAAUAGGACAAACAUGACCCUUUUGCCGGGUCUUCCCAUCUCCAUUCCCUUUGAAAUUCAGGGGUAUUGAUUUAAAUAAGGAGAAAAUUUUCAUUGUGGCUAGAACACGAGUGGUACAUCAUGUGUUUUAAUAAAAUUGGUGGGAAAUUUUAUUUUUGAAGUUAUCAACUUUUUAGCACACAUAUUCCACCAUUUUUAUAGUGACACAUGAUAUACCACUCCGUGUACCAAUCAUACUGAAAAAUCUCUCUUAAACAAGGCAUAAAGAAAAUUGAUUCUCGUUAGCGCACCAAUCAAAUGUAUUUGAGCUUUUACAGUCGAACUGGGUACUAGUUAAUACUGACCACGUAACUUUCGUACUCAGCCUGACAUCAUCUGAAUGCUCAUCUUCCCACCAUUUUCCUGCCUAUAAAUAGUGACGAUACUGUUGCAUGCAAGAAUUAAACGAAAGCAGAGAAGAAAUGGAAAAGAGGGUUCAUGUUGUGGUGCUUCCAUAUCAAAGCCAAGGCCACAUCAACCCUCUCCUCCAGUUUGCAAAACGCCUUGCCUCCAAAGGCGUCAAGGCCACGUUGGCAACCACCACUUACACGCUCAACUCCACUCGUGUCCCAAACGUCGGCGUCGAGCCCAUCUCUGAUGGGUUCGACGAGGUCGGCUUUGCUCAAGCCGCAGACGAUGAGGACACUUUCCUUCGGUCAUUCAAAACCAACGGAUCAAGAACCCUAUCACAACUCCUAUAAAAAUGUGAAAGCUCCGAUUUCCUUGUCAGCUGUAUUGUGUACGAUUCGUUUUUGCCGUGGGCUCUUGAUGUGGCCAAGAAACACAGCGUCUAUGGAGCCUCAUUCUUUACCAACUCGAUGACUGUGUGCGUCAUUUUUUCGCAUAUUCAUCGCGGUUUAAUUUCACUGCCGUGUAAGCUCGAGGACAUGCCCUUGUUGGUUCCUGGGGCUUGCCUCCGCUCAACUUACCUGACCUGCCUAGCUUUCUUAAGAAGCCGGAUAAUAACCCGGCUUACUUGAAGAUGAAGCUGAAUCAGUAUCCUAACUUGGACAAGGCUGAUUGGAUCUUUGCAAACACCUUCGAAGCACUCGAAGGCGAGGUACACAAAUACUAGAUAAUUUAACUUAUGUUUCUUGUCAAACGAUAAUGUUAUAUUAUCAUAUUGCCAAAUUUUAUUGUUUUAUCGUUAACGGAAAACAUACGCAUGUUUUCAGAUUAGAGCAACUCAAGCGAAUCAAAGGCCUCCUAGGGCAACUUCCUAUUGAAUCCUCUCCAAUGAACAGUAACUGUCUUUAAUGAACAAUUAUUGUCUUUUGCAUCUCCAUCCCCAAUUGAAUAGCUAUGACAAUAUACAAUAAAAUAUUAGUAUUUUUUAUUUUAUAAAAUAAUACAAAAUAAUUUUAUUUGUAAUUUCAGAUAAGAUUUUUAAUCGUUCUCGUUGCACCACGUGUCAUUAAAUAAGAAACUACAAUCCAAAGUAUUUGAGAAAAUAUAAAAUUAUGGGGUAAGGUGGAAGAUAAUGAUAAGAAAUUUAUAGAAAAUUUAUAGAAAAUUUAAAUCAUUUUUUUUUUAAUUUUAAAAAAAAAUUUCAUAUUUUUUUAUUAAUUUUUUACAUUUCUCUCAGACACUCGGGCUGUUGAUUCCCACCUCCUCUCUCACUCCGGCCUCCCCAAGCCCAAUCGUCCGCAUGGGCUGAAAUAAGGGAGGGAGGCAAUUGCAUUAAAUUGGUCCCCGGUCCAUCGGGCCAUCACCACCUCUGGUAUUGCUCUUAGGUCUCGUUUGGCAGCUCGGACUACUGACUAUUUCUGUCGGAUAGGAUAAAUAGUCAUCGGAUAGUAUUGACUAAAUUAAUCGGGCGUUUGGUGCAGUAUCGGAUUAAUGACCGUAUUAUUUAUACUGUGUUUGGUAUUAUACCGGAUAAGAGAAAUCAAAUUUAAAAUAAAAUUAAAAAAAAUUGAAAUCAUCUUUUUUUUUUCCGCAAAUCUCUCUGCACCCCCCAAACUCCCUCCCUCUCUCUCAGUCGCAGAUCUCUCUGCACCCCCCCCCACCCCAAAACCCAGUUUGAUGAUUACUGGAAAAGAAAAAGAAUAGAAAAAACAAAGUUGUCAAAUGCAGGAAGAACCCAGCAGCCAUAAACCCAGCAGCCACAAAGUUGUCCCAAAUCUCUCCGUCCCACCCCCAAAAUCGCCCAAAUCCAUCAACAAAAUCAGGGAACAAUUAAGCUAAAAACUCAUAAAAAAACAUCUCCAGUCCUAUAAUUCUCUACAAUUCCUAGAGAAACCCAAUUCAAAAAGUUAGCGUUUUGCAGCUCGAGUUCUGAGAAUUCUGCAGAAAGAAAGAGUUGGGUUGCUAGGAGCGGCGGAGGAGAUGUGGAGGUUCGGGGGUCGGUGUUAUUGGGGAAGGAAGGAGCGGCGGAGCAAUGGGGGGACGAAGGAGGGGGACGAAGUGAGCCAGGAGAGUGCUGCGAGAGAGAGGGGGACGAAGUGAGCGAGAGAGAUGACCCGACUAAAUUAUACGGAGGUUUUGGUUGGGAUAAAUAAGCGGGUAGGAGGAGUAUAAAAUGAGUGGGCCCGGAUUAAAUAAUCCGGUGCUUAUUUAAUACGAAGUUCACCAAACAUCUGUUUCGUACUAUUAAUACUAUCCGGUGGUCUUAUACGGCGUGCCAAACGAGGCCUUAUUGUCCCAAUUGGAUCCCUUUGCUUUCACACCUCUCCGUCAUUUGAAUGGUCGGCACAAAAACAGAGUGUCGUUCACAUUUUAAAUUUCCAUCUUUCUAUAGGACAAGGAUUGUCUGCACUCCAUUUCCGGUGCCCUUCUCGUGCCCUCUUAUUUUGUGUGGUCACGGUUAAGCCACGUCAACAUUUUAUAUUGUUUUUUUUAUAGAUAUAAUAAGACAAAAAUGAAGAGUAAUAUAAAAUGUUGACGUAGCUUAACCGUUAUCACACAAAGAAGAUAGCACAUGAAGGGUACCAGAAAUAAAGGGCAGACAAUCCUUAUUCGUUUCUAUCGCCGUCACAAAACAAAGGCGGAAAGAAAAAGAGUAAAUUAAAGCCGGUCCCCUUAUUUAUUAUAUGUUUCCCACCUCGUACGCUUCUGUAGGGACGAUCUGGGCCGCACCUUUUUGUUUGCUUCUACACGAUGUAAUGAGUGCAACACGAGUAUGCCAUUUUACGACGGACAUCAAUGAAAAAGCGUCGGGUAGAAAAAAUUGAAUAAAUUAAUUAUAAUCUAAGAUUCUAAACUAUUUAUUAACAUAACUAUCAUUCUCAAUAAAAAUAAAAUAAAAUAAAAAACUUUCAUUGUCAAUAAAAAUCUUAGGGGGCGUUUGUUGCGCCGGACUAUCUCGGACUAGACUAGCUUCAAGGACUAAGCUGGAUUGGCUUAGACUAGACUAAGCUGGACUAAUUUAGUGAAGCGUUUGGUGCAGUGUUAGACUAAGAAGCUGGAUAAUAACAAAUUCUAAUAUUAUAUUAUUUAAUAUAUAAAUUAUUAAUAUUUUAUUAUGAUCUAGGUGACCGGAGAUGACGAGGAGUCUAUCGGGAAUGGUUGUUGAGCACGACGAGGACGAGAGAGGAUAGUCUUAGCUAGUCCUAUGGUUAUUGGGGGGUCUCGCUAAGACCUCUUAGUGAAGGGUUUUGUCCAUGCUAAUCCCCUUUAGUCUCAUUAAUGUUAGUCCCAGCAUGGAACAAACACAGUAUUUGACUAACAGUUAGUCCAGUCCAGUCCAGUCCCACUUAGUGAGGGCAAACAAACGCCCCCUUAUAGAAUUAAUGUUCUAACUAUCUAAUCAAAACUGAACAUAAAUAUAAAAACAUAGACAGUAAUGUAAUUUCAUAUAAAACAAAUUAUGCAGUUUUUUAAAGCAUCACCUACAUAUGAUUCUAACAUAACUCUAAUAUUAAAAAAAAAGAACUUUAACAAAAAGCUCCCGAUACUGUUCACUUUAACAAAAAAUCACAUUUUUAUACUAAAAAGUCAAUCCUGAUACUAUUCACUUUAUCUUUUAUUUUGUCUUUAUCUUUAGAACUCAAAGUUUUCAAACUACUUUUAUUAGUUUUCCUAUAAAAAAAACAUUUUCUCCCUUCUCUCUCCAAUUCCACGUUCUCUCUCUCUCUCCUCCUCUCUCCUUCCUUUUUUUUUUUAAAAAAGUCACUUAGUAGUAUUCAUCUUCUAUUGUAAGUGUUAGGUUUUAGGUUCGACUCGCACCAAAUACGAGUUUGAACUAUAUUAUAGUUAGCCUAUUAUGAUGUUAAACCCACAUCUUCCCCUUUAAUGUAAAUAAUAUCGUUUGUUUAAAAAAAAUAUAAAAUAUAAAAAGUUUCACACACUUUGUGUGGCAUAUGGUAGUCACCAUUAAAAUAAGAACUUAAAAAAUGAGUAAAAUUAAAAAUAAAAAAAAACAAAAAAAGUUUGAAAAAAAUCUCUCGUGCCCCAUUCCCCGGCCUUAGUCAAAACUUUUAUCAUGCUUGACAAUUUUUUACACGAUCCGUUAACUCGGCACAAAAAUAACAUAUUCGAGUCAACACGUUAAGAACUCGUUAACAAAUCGGGUUACCAACAUGAUAAGAUAUCGCCAUAUCUAUACAAAAGGCAUGUCAAUUUCAUGCAUGAUUUGUUAACCUGACACGAAACGACGCGGUGUGUUAACGAACCAUGUCAUUGUUGGAUCAUCUAUUAAGAUAAUAAGUUUGAUAUGACACAAUACAUUUAGAUAACAGGCAUGAUAUAAAAACAAAACGAACACAACAAAGCUGAUCUGUUUAACAGAUCUACCCAUCACCAUCCCCUUAUAAAUUAAGGGAGAUAUUGAUAUUUAAAAAAGGGACACCGACUUCCCGUAUUUAUGCCGACAACGGAAUCAAACUUACUUGUUUUUACACUCGAACCAGGUACCAAUUAAUACUGGGAAUUGGAUUGUCUGCCCUCUUUAUCUUAUUCCCUUCCCAUCUUUUUUUAUUUAUGUAGUCACGGUUAAGCUACGUUAAUAUUUUAUAUUCUCAUUGUUUUUUGUCUUAUUAUUUCUAUAAAAAAAUUAAUAUAAAAUGUUAACGUGACUUAACCGUGAGUCCGUGACUACAUAAAUAGGGAAGGAUGGGAAGGGAAUGCGAUGAGGGAGGGCAGCCAAUCCAGGUCCUUAAUAUUGACCAUACAAUAACUUUGUUCUCAACCAGACAUAAUCUGAAUGCUUAUCUUCCCAUCAUUUUCUUGACUACAAAUAGUGAGGAAAGUGCUGGAUGCAAGAAAAAGCUGAGGAGAAAUGGAGAGGAGGGUUCAUGUUGUGGUGCUUCCAUAUCCAAGCCAAGGCCACAUCAACCCUGUCCUCCAGUUUGCAAAACGCCUUGCCUCCAAAGGCGUCAAGGCCACGUUGGCAACCACCACUUACACUCUCAACUCCAUUCAUGUCCAAAACGUUGGAGUCGAGCCCAUCUCUGAUGGGUUCGACGAGGCUGGCUUUGCUCAAGCCGCAGACGAGGACACUUUCCUUCGGUCAUUCAAAACCAACGGCUCAAGAACCCUAUCGCAGCUCCUCCAAAAAUACGAAAGCUCCGAUUUCCCUGUGAACUGUAUUGUGUACGAUUCGUUUUUGCCGUGGGCUCUUGACGUGGCCAAGAAACAUGGCGUCUAUGGAGCCUCGUUCUUUACCAACUCGGCGACUGUGUGCGUCAUUUUUUCGCACAUACAUCGCGGUUUAAUUUCACUGCCGUGUAAGCUCGAGGACAUGCCCUUGUUGGUUCCUGGCCUGCCUCCGCUCAACUUACCUGACCUGCCUAGCUUUCUUAAGAAGCCGGAUAGUAACCCGGCUUACUUGAAGAUGAAGCUGAAUCAGUAUCCUAACUUGGACAAAGCUGAUUGGAUCUUUGCAAACACAUUCGAAGCACUCGAAGGCGAGGUAAGCAAAUACUAGAUAAUUUAACCUAUGUUUCUUGUCAAACGAUUAUGUUAUAUUAUCAUACUGCCAAAUUUUAUCGUUUUAUCGUUAACGGAAAACAACGCAUAUCUUCUCAUCAUACUAUCAACAUUGCGU
rnacentral:lncRNA from 1 species